GAUUAACGCUGGCGGCGUGCCUGACACAUGCAAGUCGAACGAGCGAAGGACUUCGGUCCCUAGCGAGUGGCGGACGGGUGAGUAACACGUGAGGAACCUACCUUCAAGUGGGGAAUAACUGCCAGAAAUGGCAGCUAAUACCGCAUGUGGUUGUCUGUUGGCAUCUUCGGACAACUAAAGAUUUAUCGCUUGGAGACGGCCUCGCGGCCUAUUAGCUAGUUGGUGGGGUAAUGGCCUACCAAGGCGAUGAUGGGUAGCUGGUCUGAGAGG
rnacentral:rRNA from 1 species